GGAAUAUUGCACAAUGGGGGAAACCCUGAUGCAGCGACGCCGCGCGAAGGAAGAAGUAUUUCGGUAUGUAAACUUCUAUCAGCAGGGAAGAAAAUGACGGUACCUGAGUAAGAAGCCCCGGCUAACUACGUGCCAGCAGCCGCGGUAAUACGUAGGGGGCAAGCGUUAUCCGGAUUUACUGGGUGUAAAGGGAGCGUAGACGGUAAUGCAAGUCUGGAGUGAAAUGCAGGGGCUCAACCCCUGAACUGCUUUGGAAACUGUAUGACUAGAGUGCAGGAGAGGUAAGUGGAAUUCCUAGUGUAGCGGUGAAAUGCGUAGAUAUUAGGAGGAACACCAGUGGCGAAGGCGGCUUACUGGACUGUAACUGACGUUGAGGCUCGAAAGCGUGGGGAGCAAAC
rnacentral:rRNA from 1 species